GUGGUUGUAGCUAAGUGGUAGAGCGCUUGCCUCGCAUGCAUGAGGCCCUGGGUUUGGUCCCCAGCACCACA
rnacentral:tRNA from 1 species